rnacentral:rRNA from 1 species
GAACUGAAGAGUUUGAUCAUGGCUCAGAUUGAACGCUGGCGGCAGGCCUAACACAUGCAAGUCGAGCGGAUGAAG